UUGGGGGUCAAAUGAAAUAAGAGGUAGGAA
rnacentral:piRNA from 2 species